UUAAGCGACUAAGCGUACACGGUGGAUGCCCUGGCAGUCAGAGGCGAUGAAGGACGUGCUAAUCUGCGAUAAGCGUCGGUAAGGUGAUAUGAACCGUUAUAACCGGCGAUUUCCGAAUGGGGAAACCCAGUGUGUUUCGACACACUAUCAUUAACUGAAUCCAUAGGUUAAUGAGGCGAACCGGGGGAACUGAAACAUCUAAGUACCCCGAGGAAAAGAAAUCAACCGAGAUUCCCCCAGUAGCGGCGAGCGAACGGGGAGCAGCCCAGAGCCUGAAUCAGUGUGUGUGUUAGUGGAAGCGUCUGGAAAGGCGCGCGAUACAGGGUGACAGCCCCGUACACAAAAAUGCACAUAUUGUGAGCUCGAUGAGUAGGGCGGGACACGUGGUAUCCUGUCUGAAUAUGGGGGGACCAUCCUCCAAGGCUAAAUACUCCUGACUGACCGAUAGUGAACCAGUACCGUGAGGGAAAGGCGAAAAGAACCCCGGCGAGGGGAGUGAAAAAGAACCUGAAACCGUGUACGUACAAGCAGUGGGAGCACGCUUAGGCGUGUGACUGCGUACCUUUUGUAUAAUGGGUCAGCGACUUAUAUUCUGUAGCAAGGUUAACCGAAUAGGGGAGCCGAAGGGAAACCGAGUCUUAACUGGGCGUUAAGUUGCAGGGUAUAGACCCGAAACCCGGUGAUCUAGCCAUGGGCAGGUUGAAGGUUGGGUAACACUAACUGGAGGACCGAACCGACUAAUGUUGAAAAAUUAGCGGAUGACUUGUGGCUGGGGGUGAAAGGCCAAUCAAACCGGGAGAUAGCUGGUUCUCCCCGAAAGCUAUUUAGGUAGCGCCUCGUGAAUUCAUCUCCGGGGGUAGAGCACUGUUUCGGCAAGGGGGUCAUCCCGACUUACCAACCCGAUGCAAACUGCGAAUACCGGAGAAUGUUAUCACGGGAGACACACGGCGGGUGCUAACGUCCGUCGUGAAGAGGGAAACAACCCAGACCGCCAGCUAAGGUCCCAAAGUCAUGGUUAAGUGGGAAACGAUGUGGGAAGGCCCAGACAGCCAGGAUGUUGGCUUAGAAGCAGCCAUCAUUUAAAGAAAGCGUAAUAGCUCACUGGUCGAGUCGGCCUGCGCGGAAGAUGUAACGGGGCUAAACCAUGCACCGAAGCUGCGGCAGCGACGCUUAUGCGUUGUUGGGUAGGGGAGCGUUCUGUAAGCCUGUGAAGGUGUACUGUGAGGUAUGCUGGAGGUAUCAGAAGUGCGAAUGCUGACAUAAGUAACGAUAAAGCGGGUGAAAAGCCCGCUCGCCGGAAGACCAAGGGUUCCUGUCCAACGUUAAUCGGGGCAGGGUGAGUCGACCCCUAAGGCGAGGCCGAAAGGCGUAGUCGAUGGGAAACAGGUUAAUAUUCCUGUACUUGGUGUUACUGCGAAGGGGGGACGGAGAAGGCUAUGUUGGCCGGGCGACGGUUGUCCCGGUUUAAGCGUGUAGGCUGGUUUUCCAGGCAAAUCCGGAAAAUCAAGGCUGAGGCGUGAUGACGAGGCACUACGGUGCUGAAGCAACAAAUGCCCUGCUUCCAGGAAAAGCCUCUAAGCAUCAGGUAACAUCAAAUCGUACCCCAAACCGACACAGGUGGUCAGGUAGAGAAUACCAAGGCGCUUGAGAGAACUCGGGUGAAGGAACUAGGCAAAAUGGUGCCGUAACUUCGGGAGAAGGCACGCUGAUAUGUAGGUGAAGUCCCUCGCGGAUGGAGCUGAAAUCAGUCGAAGAUACCAGCUGGCUGCAACUGUUUAUUAAAAACACAGCACUGUGCAAACACGAAAGUGGACGUAUACGGUGUGACGCCUGCCCGGUGCCGGAAGGUUAAUUGAUGGGGUUAGCCGCAAGGCGAAGCUCUUGAUCGAAGCCCCGGUAAACGGCGGCCGUAACUAUAACGGUCCUAAGGUAGCGAAAUUCCUUGUCGGGUAAGUUCCGACCUGCACGAAUGGCGUAAUGAUGGCCAGGCUGUCUCCACCCGAGACUCAGUGAAAUUGAACUCGCUGUGAAGAUGCAGUGUACCCGCGGCAAGACGGAAAGACCCCGUGAACCUUUACUAUAGCUUGACACUGAACAUUGAGCCUUGAUGUGUAGGAUAGGUGGGAGGCUUGGAAGUGUGGACGCCAGUCUGCAUGGAGCCGACCUUGAAAUACCACCCUUUAAUGUUUGAUGUUCUAACGUUGACCCGUAAUCCGGGUUGCGGACAGUGUCUGGUGGGUAGUUUGACUGGGGCGGUCUCCUCCUAAAGAGUAACGGAGGAGCACGAAGGUUGGCUAAUCCUGGUCGGACAUCAGGAGGUUAGUGCAAUGGCAUAAGCCAGCUUGACUGCGAGCGUGACGGCGCGAGCAGGUGCGAAAGCAGGUCAUAGUGAUCCGGUGGUUCUGAAUGGAAGGGCCAUCGCUCAACGGAUAAAAGGUACUCCGGGGAUAACAGGCUGAUACCGCCCAAGAGUUCAUAUCGACGGCGGUGUUUGGCACCUCGAUGUCGGCUCAUCACAUCCUGGGGCUGAAGUAGGUCCCAAGGGUAUGGCUGUUCGCCAUUUAAAGUGGUACGCGAGCUGGGUUUAGAACGUCGUGAGACAGUUCGGUCCCUAUCUGCCGUGGGCGCUGGAGAACUGAGGGGGGCUGCUCCUAGUACGAGAGGACCGGAGUGGACGCAUCACUGGUGUUCGGGUUGUCAUGCCAAUGGCACUGCCCGGUAGCUAAAUGCGGAAGAGAUAAGUGCUGAAAGCAUCUAAGCACGAAACUUGCCCCGAGAUGAGUUCUCCCUGACCCUUUAAGGGUCCUGAAGGAACGUUGAAGACGACGACGUUGAUAGGCCGGGUGUGUAAGCGCAGCGAUGCGUUGAGCUAACCGGUACUAAUGAACCGUGAGGCUUAACCUU
rnacentral:rRNA from 1 species